rnacentral:miRNA from 1 species
CCUGCUUAAAUUUGAAUUUCAGAUCAACAACGAAUCAUUUUUUAGUAUAAGUAUAUCCCAUGCAUUUUUGGGUCAUACUUAUACUAGACAAUUAUUUGCUGUUUACCUGAAAUUCACAUAUAA